CCUACGGGUUGCACCAGUGGGGAAUAUUGCACAAUGGGCGCAAGCCUGAUGCAGCCAUGCCGCGUGUAUGAAGAAGGCCUUCGGGUUGUAAAGUACUUUCAGCGGGGAGGAAGGUGUUGUGGUUAAUAACCGCAGCAAUUGACGUUACCCGCAGAAGAAGCACCGGCUAACUCCGUGCCAGCAGCCGCGGUAAUACGGAGGGUGCGAGCGUUAAUCGGAAUGACUGGGCGUAAAGGGCAUGUAGGCGGAUGAUUAAGUUAGGUGUGAAAUCCCCGAGCUCAACUUGGGAAUUGCAUUUAAAACUGGUCGUCUAGAGUAUUGUAGAGGAAGGUAGAAUUCCACGUGUAGCGGUGAAAUGCGUAGAGAUGUGGAGGAAUACCGGUGGCGAAGGCGGUCUUCUGGACAGAUACUGACGCUGUGAUGCGAUAGCGUGGGGAGCAAACAGGAUUAGAUACCCCAGUAGUC
rnacentral:rRNA from 1 species